rnacentral:rRNA from 1 species
AUUGAACGCUGGCGGCAUGCCUUACACAUGCAAGUCGAACGGCAGCACGGGAGCAAUCCUGGUGGCGAGUGGCGAACGGGUGAGUAAUAUAUCGGAACGUGCCCAGUAGUGGGGGAUAGCCCGGCGAAAGCCGGAUUAAUACCGCAUACGACCUGUGGGUGAAAGCGGGGGAUCGCAAGACCUCGCGCUAUUGGAGCGGCCGAUAUCAGAUUAGCUAGUUGGUGGGGUGAAGGCCUACCAAGGCGACGAUCUGUAGCUGGUCUGAGAGGACGACCAGCCACACUGGGACUGAGACACGGCCCAGACUCCUACGGGAGGCAGCAGUGGGGAAUUUUGGACAAUGGGCGCAAGCCUGAUCCAGCCAUGCCGCGUGUGGGAAGAAGGCCUUCGGGUUGUAACCACUUU